UCCGAUGUGGUGUAGUGGCUAACAUUGCUGUCUUUCAUCAAAUUCCUCAUUAUUGUGAAUCACAGCAGCCCGGGGUUCGAUUCCCCGCAUCGGAA
rnacentral:tRNA from 1 species